AUGGAUUAUUAUUAGUUCGAUUGUCAUUCAUGUCUAAAUGAUCAAACAAAGCCACCCAAAAACAUGAGAACACCACUGAAAUCAACCACGGCGACAAUGGUUAAAGAAGUCUAUGUUAUGAUAUAAAACAAAGAAACUGUAUAGCUGACAUGUUUUUUUCAAUUUUUUAAAAUCUUGAGAAAUCUUGUUUUGCUUCUCUUUCAGUGUCGUGCAUGAGCUUUAAUGAUCCAAGCUGCCUGCAGAAACCUUUCUUGGGCUGCUCUUUUGAGUGAACUGUCCAGUUAUCUGGCAUUCACUCCUUCAUGACUUUGACAGAAUACCCUUGCAAUGAGGAUGAUCCUGUCGCCUAGCAACUCCUGGAGAUAAAAUUGGACAGCAGCCAAGCGUGAAAGUCAUUCCAUAGAGUGAGGUUUUGAUGCAUCAGGGGUGGCUGGUUCCCUGGCCGUGCUGUGUGGAUGGGCAGGACGGACCUUUCUUAUAGCGUCGCUUCACUCUCAGCCUGAGGCGACAACCCUCCUUUUCUCCAACCUACCCACUUCCAACCUGCUCCCCUCCCUUCCUGCACCAUUGCUGCUCAAUUACAAUAAUAGCAAUAAUAACCUUAUCUACCCAGUGCUUAAAAGACCAGAAUAAUUAAAUGUGAGAUAAGAUAGUACAAUAAUAAAUAAAGGGGGGUCA
rnacentral:lncRNA from 1 species